rnacentral:rRNA from 1 species
CAGCCGCCACGGUAAUACGAAGGGUGCAAGCGUUAAUCGGAAUUACUGGGCGUAAAGCGUGCGUAGGCGGUUUGUUAAGUCUGCUGUGAAAUCCCCGGGCUCAACCUGGGAAUGGCAGUGGAUACUGGCAAGCUAGAGUGUGUCAGAGGAUGGUGGAAUUCCCGGUGUAGCGGUGAAAUGCGUAGAGAUCGGGAGGAACAUCAGUGGCGAAGGCGGCCAUCUGGGACAACACUGACGCUGAGGCACGAAAGCGUGGGGAUCAAACAGGAUUAGAUACCCCUGUAGUCCCUGUCUCUUAUAC